ensembl:lncRNA
GAAGGAAAUGGCAACCCACUCCAGUGUUCUUGCCUGGAGAAUCCCAGGGACGGGGGAGCCUGGUGGGCUGCCGUCGAUGGGGUCGCACAGAGUCGGACACGACUGAAGUGACUUAGCAGCAGCAGCAGCAAGGCGGUUUCAAAUACAUCAUUCCUGAAAUGUGUUUUAGCUUUAGGAUUUCAGAUUCAGUCAUCCUUUCCCCACUUAGUCUGGGCCGUUGUGACAGUCAUUCAGUAGAAUAUCUCUUCUUGGCUAUACAGCACUGAUUUACUUUUUGCUGGCUUUUUACCACGACUUGCUAGAAGACACUGGAAUAGCUAGCAAAGAAAUCACAGCCUAUUGGUUGUUUAACAGUAUAGACUGCCAGGGUUCAAACAAAGGCUUUGUGACCUCAAACCUAAGCAUCAGGUGUUUUCUUCUGUAAAGGUGUUAAUAAUUAAUGCCAUUUGUUGCCCCAGGGCUGUCAUGAAGUUUAGUUGAUACGUGACAGCUUGUACUAGGCAAGGGCUUAAUAAGUGUAAGCACCUAUUAAAAAAAAAAAAUAUAUAUAUAUAUAUAUAUAUAUAUAUCAAAGAUAUGUAGUAUUUGGGGAAAAAUUGAGCUCUUCUAAUUCCCAAGGUGGGUGGAGCCUCACAGAGGGUAGUUUGGGAGUGACUCUUAAAGGUAAGACUCUUAGCUAAAUGAUCAAACUCCUUUCAGACCUAUCCUCCUUUUACUCUUAGAAAUGUAAUGGUCCCUGUUUGGUAAUGAAUGAAAACUAACACUGCCUGAGAGGGGUGCUCUUUAAGUAGGUAGGUUUGAAUCCCAAAGCCCUUGGUCUUUGUACACUGCCCCUACAAGGAAGAGGCACCUGAUUAGUAACUGAUAAUCCUUUUCCUUCAAUAUUUGUGUUGAUUCUAAAAAGAGCAGAAAUAUAAUAAGCAGCCACUCAUGAUUGAAGUCCUCUCUACCUAGUUCUUAAAUGUAAAUGUUCGUAAUGUAAACUGAAAGAUUGAUGAGCUUUGAAUUUUUCCCUACUAUAUUGAUAACAUGAUUUAAAUCAUAAAUUGUCAUCAGUUGGUGGCUGAAUAAAUUGGUACAACAUAAAAAAAAAA